rnacentral:rRNA from 1 species
GCCUACGGGAGGCAGCAGUGGGGAAUAUUGCACAAUGGGGGGAACCCUGAUGCAGCAAUGCCGCGUGGGUGAAGAAGCACUCCGGUGCGUAAAGCCCUGUCAGCAGGGAAGAAAAUGACGGUACCUGAUUAAGAAGCCCCGGCUAACUACGUGCCAGCAGCCGCGGUAAUACGUAGGGGGCAAGCGUUAUCCGGAUUUACUGGGUGUAAAGGGAGCGUAGACGGCAUAGCAAGUCUGAAGUGAAAGCCCAAGGCUCAACCAUGGGACUGCUUUGGAAACUGUUAAGCUAGAGUGCUGGAGAGGUA